rnacentral:rRNA from 1 species
AACGAACGCUGGCGGCAGGCCUAACACAUGCAAGUCGAGCGAGGUAGCAAUACCUAGCGGCGGACGGGUGAGUAACGCGUGGGAACGUACCCUUUGCUACGGAAUAGCCUCGGGAAACUGGGAGUAAUACCGUAUGUGCCCUUCGGGGGAAAGAUUUAUCGGCAAAGGAUCGGCCCGCGUUGGAUUAGGUAGUUGGUGGGGUAAUGGCCUACCAAGCCUACGAUCCAUAGCUGGUUUGAGAGGAUGAUCAGCCACACUGGGACUGAGACACGGCCCAGACUCCUACGGGAGGCAGCAGUGGGGAAUCUUAGACAAUGGGCGCAAGCCUGG